GGAAUGCCGCGGCCGCCAUAAACGGUUUUCUCAGGGAAGAUAAUCUGACGGUACCUGAGGAAUAAGCAUCGGCUAACUCCGUGCCAGCAGCCGCGGUAAUACGGAGGAUGCGAGCGUUAUCCGGAAUUAUUGGGCGUAAAGCGUCCGCAGGUGGUCUUUCAAGUCUGCUGUCAAAGACCAGAGCUUAACUCUGGGCAGGCGGUGGAAACUGAGAGACUAGAGUUCGGUAGGGGUAGCGGGAAUUCCCAGUGUAGCGGUGAAAUGCGUAUAUAUUGGGAAGAACAUCGGUGGCGAAGCGUGCUACUGGAC
rnacentral:rRNA from 1 species